rnacentral:rRNA from 1 species
GACGAACGCUGGCGGCGUGCCUAAUACAUGCAAGUAGGACGCAGUUGCGAACGGGUGAGUAACGCUUAGGUUACUCCCUAUUAGAGGGGGAUAACUAUUGGAAACGAUAGCUAAUACCGCAUACUAGUAGAUGGACCUGCGUUGUAUUAGCUAGUAGGUAGGGUAAUGGCCUUCCUCGGCAACGAAACAUAGCCGAACGGGGAGGGUGGGCGGCCACACUGGGACUGAGACACGGCCCAGACUCCUACGGGAGGGAGCAGUAGGGAAACUGCGGCAAUGGGGGGAACCCUGAACGAGCAACGCCGCGUGAGUGAAGAAGGGUUUCGGGUCGUAAAGCUCUGUUGUUAAGGAAGCGGUACUUAACCAGAAAGGGACGGCUAACUACGUGCCAGCAGCCGCGGUAAUAC